UUAAUAAAAUAAAAGAAUAAAAGAAAUGAAAUAAAAUAAAGUAAAGAAGAAACAGAGAACCUUUAGAAACAGAACAGGAAAGAAAAAGGAAAGAAAGAAGAAAGGGAAAACUAAGGUUUUAAAGCUUGAAGUUUAAUUGCUAAUUUUGAGCCUGAAGCAUCGGCCCAAAAAGGAAAAAGAAAGAUCGUCGAAGAUUAAAUCCGAAGAGAAUUCUGGUUUGUAUCACUAUAACUCAAGCUUUAUAAUUAAUAUGUGUUUAAUUUAAUAUGAAUAUGUGGUAAGUAUUUUAAGGUAAGUAUUUAAUGAAAUAAUAAAAUUUGUGAUUGGGUAUUAAAAUUGAGAUUGAUACUGAACUGAAUUAUUGGAUUCUGAAUAUUGUUUUGAAUACCGAAUUGAACUGUGAAAUUACUUAAUAA